GGUGAGAUGGCCGAGCGGUCUAAGGCGCUAGCUUAAGGUGGAUCAGUCCAUUAUCCGCUAGUCCGAAAGGGCGUGGGUUCGAAUCCCACUCUCAUCA
rnacentral:tRNA from 1 species